CUCUGCAAAGCUCUAAGGGAGUUUUGCUUACAGCUCCAUCUUUAUUGCUGUGUGACCUUGAGCGCAUUCCUUUACUUCUCUGGUCUCCAGUCUCCUCUGCAGCAUGACACAGUGUGAUGAAACAAAUGUUUGUCUCUCAAGUUCAAUGUUGAAGCCCUAACCCAGAAUGAGAAGGUAUUUGGAGUGGACCUUUUGGAGGUUGCAUGUAGUGAAAGCAGGGAAGUAUUUGUAUGGAAGGACUGGGUAAAUGGAGUCCUCAGUCAACGUUGUAGCCGAGAACUCCACGCAAGACAAGACAGAGACUUCCUUUGGAACUUGUCAUUUGGUGCUUCUGUCAGUGUGUCCACUGUCGUGUCAUCAGCUUCUCAAAGGAUGCCUGGGGUCUGUGGAGAAGUCCCUUAGAGAAGUCUUCAUUCUGAAGAAUUAAAACGUCCCCGGAUUCUUCUUCUUGCCUUUGAUUGCUUUGCAGAACUUUGCUGUUGUACAAGGAAUAUUUAUAUGUUGGACCAUCUUCAAUAUGGCAGAGACUAUAGCAAAUCGAGUGAUAGAAAUAUGAAUAAUAUAAGCAUAUGAUGCCUGCUCUCGAAAAGCUCUUGCUCUUAUGGGAUAGAUGAAAUAAUCUACAGCACACAUCAUGGUCCUUUGCUCAAUCAGGACCCUAAGGAGAUCAUCAAGUGACCUCAGCCAGAUGUCCUAACAACACACUAUUCACAAGAGCCAAGACACGGAAUCAACCCAAAUGUCCACUGACAAGAUGAUUGGAUUAGGAAGAUGGUCUCUUCGCAUGGAUAAGGAAGAGCCAUGCAGAGGACCUCCUAAUCUACAAAGUACGGUCACAACCAUUGCCUCUGUUGGCAUUCAACAUUUCGGUGGAAUUGAUAGACCUGGCCGUUUUAUUGCAUUCGUAACUUACAGAGGAGGAACUGAAACUCAGGGUAGUUUAAAUGACUUAGUUGCUGUUGAAGAUAGCACUCCGGAAUGGAGAGAGCAAAUCAGAGUUACAGAAAGCUCAGGAUGGGCAAAGAGAGGCUCUGGAUGAUGCCGGUGGCAGGGAGUGGGGGGUGCAGGAACUGGAGGGUGCAACACACCUUUCCUCUUGGUUACUCUUGAGGCACUGGCCCCUCCCACAUGUUGUUUUCCCACCUGCUCUGUACAGAUGUACUGCCAUCCCAUUUCCUUUUUUCCUUUUUUAAAAAAAUUAAUUGAAAUAUAUUUUUUGCUGUUCCC
rnacentral:lncRNA from 1 species